rnacentral:lncRNA from 1 species
GCCUGAAGUCCCUGCAACGAAUUGUAAAUAUUAAUAGGACUACCAAUAUCUAAUAUCCAGAUCAUUGUAUCAAAAUUUGAGAAGUUCCAAGGUGUUAUCAUAUAAUUAUCUUGCCCAACAAUCGAUUGCUUCUUCUUCUUCGAUCUGUUCAGGUCAAGAGAUGCUAUGUAUUAAGGAUAAUUUCUCUUCCAAUGACCCUGCU